UCAGAUAUUUGCGCAUUAUCACAUAUACAUACAUAGAUUCAAAUCCAUGUUUUUCUUCAUGUUUUUUUCAGCAGAAAAAGAAACCCACGCAGACAUGGACAUGGGGAGCACACAGAAACUUCACCAAAAAUGAAAGUGCAAUUAUGGAUACAGGAAUACACAUGCAUCCGAUUUGUUUUCAGCCCAGGCAGAAAAGGCAGUCAGUCUGUAUUUCUGUCUUCAGCAUAUGGACACAUGGAGGCCUAAUUUCUGCAUCACAUUAACAUGGUAUGUUUGACUGAAGCUUAAGAGCUUAGACUACGUUCACACAUAUUCAGAUUCUGUGUGUUUU
rnacentral:lncRNA from 1 species